rfam:Triticum aestivum genome assembly, contig: Triticum_aestivum_CS42_TGACv1_scaffold_096019_2AL
UUCAUACUCCCUCCGUCCGAAAAUACUUGUCAUCAAAAUAGACAAAAAAUGGAUGUAUCUAGAACUAAAAUAUGUCUAGAUGCAUCCCCUUUUAUCCAUUUUGAUGACAAGUAUUUCCGGACAGAGGGAGUACAUC